AUUGAACGCUGGCGGCAGGCCUAACACAUGCAAGUCGAGCGGAUGAAGGGAGCUUGCUCCUGGAUUCAGCGGCGGACGGGUGAGUAAUGCCUAGGAAUCUGCCUGGUAGUGGGGGAUAACGUCCGGAAACGGGCGCUAAUACCGCAUACGUCCUGAGGGAGAAAGUGGGGGAUCUUCGGACCUCACGCUAUCAGAUGAGCCUAGGUCGGAUUAGCUAGUUGGUGGGGUAAAGGCCUACCAAGGCGACGAUCCGUAACUGGUCUGAGAGGAUGAUCAGUCACACUGGAACUGAGACACGGUCCAGACUCCUACGGGAGGCAGCAGCGGGGAAUAUUGGACAAUGGGCGAAAGCCUGAUCCAGCCAUGCCGCGUGUGUGAAGAAGGUCUUCGGAUUGUAAAGCACUUUAAGUUGGGAGGAGGGGCAGUAAGUUAAUACCUUGCUGUUUUGACGUUACCAACAGAAUAAGCACCGGCUAACUUCGU
rnacentral:rRNA from 1 species